CCAGGCCCAGUGCCAGCACCCUCCUGAACCACUCUUUCUUCAAGCAGAUCAAGCGACGUGCCUCAGAGGCUUUGCCCGAAUUGCUUCGUCCUGUCACCCCCAUCACCAAUUUUGAGGGCAGCCAGUCUCAGGACCACAGUGGAAUCUUUGGCCUGGUAACAAACCUGGAAGAGCUGGAGGUGGACGAUUGGGAGUUCUGAGCCUCUGCAAACUGUGCGCAUUCUCCAGCCAGGGAUGCAGAGGCCACCCAGAGGCCCUUCCUGAGGGCCGGCCACAUUCCCGCCCUCCUGGGCAGAUUGGGUAGAAAGGACAUUCUUCCAGGAAAGUUGACUGCUGACUGAUUGGGAAAGAAAAUCCUGGAGAGACACUUCACUGCUCCAAGGCUUUUGAGACACAAGGGAAUCUCAACAACCAGGGAUCAGGAGGGUCCAAAGCCGACAUUCCCAGUCCUGUGAGCUCAGGUGACCUCCUCCGCAGAAGAGAGAUGCUGCUCUGGCCCUGGGAGCUGAAUUCCAAGCCCAGGGUUUGGCUCCUUAAACCCGAGGACCGCCACCUCUUCCCAGUGCUUGCGACCAGCCUCAUUCUAUUUAACUUUGCUCUCAGAUGCCUCAGAUGCUAUAGGUCAGUGAAAGGGCAAGUAGUAAGCUGCCUGCCUCCCUUCCCUCAGACCUCUCCCUCAUAAUUCCAGAGAAGGGCAUUUCUGUCUUUUUAAGCACAGACUAAGGCUGGAACAGUCCAUCCUUAUCCCUCUUCUGGCUUGGGCCCUGACACCUAAGUCUUUCCCACGGUUUAUGUGUGUGCCUCAUUCCUUUCCCACCAAGAAUCCAUCUUAGCGCCUCCUGCCAGCUGCCCUGGUGCUUUCUCCAAGGGCCAUCAGUGUCUUGCCUAGCUUGAGGGCUUAAGUCCUUAUGCUGUGUUAGUUUCGUUGUCAGAACAAAUUAAAAUUUUCAGAGACGC
rnacentral:lncRNA from 1 species